GAUGAACGCUGGCGGCGUGCCUAAUACAUGCAAGUCGAGCGAACGGACGAGGAGCUUGCGCCCCUGAUGUUAGCGGCGGACGGGAGAGUAACACGGGGAUAACCUACCUAUAAGACUGGGAUAACUAUGGGAAAUCGGAGCUAAUACCGGAUAAUUUAUCGAACUGCAUGGUUCAAAAGUGAAAGACGGUCUUUCGGUCACUAAUAGCUGGAUACGCUCUGCAUUAGUUAGUUGGCAAGGUAACGGCUUACCAAGGCAACGAUGCAUAGACGACCUGAAAGGGUGGUCGGCCACACUGGAUCUGAGACAGGGUCCCGACUCCUGCGGGAAGCAACAGUAGGGAAUCUUACGCGAUGGAGGAGAGGCUGACAUAGCAACACCGCCUGAGUGAUGAAGGUCUUCGGAUCGGAAAGCUCUGUUGUUAGGAGAGAACAAAUGUGUAAGUAACUGUGAACAUCUUGACAGUACCUAGAGAGAAAGCCACGGCUAACUACGUG
rnacentral:rRNA from 1 species